rnacentral:rRNA from 1 species
UACGUAGGGUGCGAGCGUUGUCCGGAAUUAUUGGGCGUAAAGGGCUCGUAGGCGGUCCAUCGCGUCGGGAGUGAAAAGCUGGGGCUUAACCCCAGUCCUGCUUUCGAUACGGGUGGACUAGAGGUAGGCAGGGGAGAAUGGAAUUCCUGGUGUAGCGGUGAAAUGCGCAGAUAUCAGGAGGAACACCGAUGGCGAAGGCAGGUCUCUGGGCUGACACUGACGCUCAUGCACGAAAGCGUGGGGAGCAAACAGG